GAUGAACGCUGGCGGCGUGCCUAAUACAUGCAAGUCGAGCGAAUGGAUUAAGAGCUUGCUCUUAUGAAGUUAGCGGCGGACGGGUGAGUAACACGUGGGUAACCUGCCCAUAAGACUGGGAUAACUCCGGGAAACCGGGGCUAAUACCGGAUAACAUUUUGAACCGCAUGGUUCGAAAUUGAAAGGCGGCUUCGGCUGUCACUUAUGGAUGGACCCGCGUCGCAUGGCUAGUUGGUGAGGUAACGGCUCACCAAGGCAACGAUGCGUAGCCGACCUGAGAGGGUGAUCGGCCACACUGGGGCUGAGACACGGCCCAGACUCCGACGGGAGGCAGCAGUAGGGGAUCUUCCGCAAUGGACGAAAGUCUGACGGAGCAACGCCGCGUGAGUGAUGAAGGCUUUCGGGUCGUAAAACUCUGUUGUUAGGGAAGAACAAGUGCUAGUUGAAUAAGCUGGCACCUUGACGGUACCUAACCAGAAAGCCACGGCUAACUACGUGCCAGCCGCCGCGGUAA
rnacentral:rRNA from 1 species